rnacentral:rRNA from 1 species
AGAUUGAACGCUGGCGGCAUGCCUUACACAUGCAAGUCGAACGGUAGAGUAGCAAUACUUGAGAGUGGCGAACGGGUGAGUAAUAUAUCGGAACGUGCCCAGUCGUGGGGGAUAACGUAGAGAAAUUUACGCUAAUACCGCAUACGAUCUAAGGAUGAAAGGCGGGGGACCGUAAGGCCUCGCGCGAUUGGAGCGGCUGAUAUCAGAUUAGGUUGUUGGUGAGGUAAAAGC